GCACAAGCGGUGGAGCAUGUGGUUUAAUUCGACGCAACGCGAAAAACCUUACCUACCCUUGACAUGUCUGGAAUUUUGCAGAGAUGUGAAAGUGCUCGAAAGAGAGCCAGAACACAGGUGCUGCAUGGCCGUCGUCAGCUCGUGUCGUGAGAUGUUGGGUUAAGUCCCGCAACGAGCGCAACCCUUAUCUACAGUUGCUACCAUUUAGUUGAGCACUCUGUCGAAACCGCCUCGGAUAACGGGGAGGAAGGUGGGGAUGACGUCAAGUCCUCAUGGCCUUUAUGUCCAGGGCUACACACGUGCUACAAUGGCCGGUACAAACCGCUGCAAACCCGCGAGGGGGAGCUAAUCGGAAAAAGCCGGCCUCAGUUCGGAUUGGAGUCUGCAACUCGACUCCAUGAAGCUGGAAUCGCUAGUAAUCGUGGAUCAGCAUGCCACGGUGAAUACGUUCCCGGGC
rnacentral:rRNA from 1 species